GACGUAGGAGGCGAGCGUUGUCCGGAUUCAUUGGGCGUAAAGAGCGCGCAGGCGGCUUGGUAAGUCGGAUGUGAAAUCCCGAGGCUCAACCUCGGGUCUGCAUCCGAUACUGCCCGGCUAGAGGUAGGUAGGGGAGAUCGGAAUUCCUGGUGUAGCGGUGAAAUGCGCAGAUAUCAGGAGGAACACCGGUGGCGAAGGCGGGUUGCUGGGCUGACACUGACGCUGAUGCGCGAAAGCCAGGGGAGCGAACGGG
rnacentral:rRNA from 1 species